AGUGAACGCUGGCGGUAGGCCUAACACAUGCAAGUCGAACGGCAGCACAGUAAGAGCUUGCUCUUACGGGUGGCGAGUGGCGGACGGGUGAGGAAUACAUCGGAAUCUACUUUUUCGUGGGGGAUAACGUAGGGAAACUUACGCUAAUACCGCAUACGACCUACGGGUGAAAGCAGGGGAUCUUCGGACCUUGCGCGAUUGAAUGAGCCGAUGUCGGAUUAGCUAGUUGGCGGGGUAAAGGCCCACCAAGGCGACGAUCCGUAGCUGGUCUGAGAGGAUGAUCAGCCACACUGGAACUGAGGCACGGUCCAGACUCCUACGGGAGGCAGCAGUGGGGAAUAUUGGACAAUGGGCGCAAGCCUGAUCCAGCCAUACCGCGUGGAUGAAGAAGGCCUUCGGGUUGUAAAGCCCUUUUGUUGGGAAAGAAAAGCAGCAGGUUAAUACCCCGCUGUUCUGACGGUACCCAAAGAAUAAGCACCGGCUAACUUCGUG
rnacentral:rRNA from 1 species